CCUACGGGAGGCAGCAGUGAGGAAUAUUGGUCAAUGGACGAGAGUCUGAACCAGCCAAGUAGCGUGAAGGAUGACUGCCCUAUGGGUUGUAAACUUCUUUUAUAAAGGAAUAAAACGAGGCACGUGUGCCUUUUUGCAUGUACUUUAUGAAUAAGGAUCGGCUAACUCCGUGCCAGCAGCCGCGGUAAUACGGAGGAUCCGAGCGUUAUCCGGAUUUAUUGGGUUUAAAGGGAGCGUAGAUGGGUUGGUAAGUCAGUUGUGAAAGUUUGCGGCUCAACCGUAAAAUUGCAAUUGAUACUGGCAGUCGUGAGUACAGUUGAGGUAGGCGGAAUUCGUGGUGUAGCGGUGAAAUGCUUAGAUAUCACGAAGAACCCCGAUUGCGAAGGCAGCUUACUAAACUGUGACUGACAUUGAUGCUCGAAAGUGUGGGUAUCAAACAGGAUUAGAUACCCGUGUAGUC
rnacentral:rRNA from 1 species